rnacentral:pre_miRNA from 1 species
CCUAAGUGAUUUUAAGUUUUUACUUGCAACAUUUGACCACUUGUCUUAUUCAAUUUUUUUUUUGAAUUAUUAUUUAUUUUAUUUGUGACUUACUUUAUUAUCUACAGUACUUUAAGCACAACUUUUCGUUUUUUAUAUUUGCGAAAAAAUUUUAAAUAAGACGAGUGGUCAAACGUUACAAGAAAAAACUCAAAAUCCCUUAUA